CAUGCGCAUUGCUAAAAGCUGACCCACCUCGUUCUCUCAGCGCCCCGGCGGAUAUGUGAAGUUCUCUCCCGGGUUUUAGUAGCCUCGGCGCGUGCACAGAGAGGUCCAUGAGGCUAACACCGCCAUAUCUACUUUCAAGAUUCCUGUGUAGCCAGGUGUGGUGGCUCUCACCUGUAACCCAAGCAACUUGGGAGGUUAAGGCAGGAAGAUUGCCAAGAGUUCAAGACCAGCCUGGAGUACACAGUAAGUUCCAGGAGACCUUGUCUCAAGAAAAAAACAAACAAAACAAAGGAGUCAGGUGUGGCGUCUCACAGGUAUAAGUUCUGUGUCUAUCUUAACGUGGAAGUUCGGCCUUCAGUCAGUGGUGGAACCUGCUCAAUCAGGACACACCCAUGCAGAGAGCCAGCCACCAAACUCCUUCUGCUGCAAUUCAGGCAACAUCUUCAUGCACAGCUAUCACCAAGUGAUGAACAAGCCUUGCAUCUUUCAAGGGCCUUCCAGCAUCACUCCAAUUGUGGGCCCAGUAGUAAACCAAGCCCUGACUUGACUUUCUCCCUGGACAGGAAGACAAACCUGCUUGCAGGGAGCUUGAUGUCCAGGCGCCAACAGGAUUAAGAAGAGGAGUGGAACAGUGGGAACAGGCAGCUCUGAAAUUCUGCAUGUGGUGGACAGGCUAACAAAACUGGAUGAGGGAGGGUAGUGCCACAAUGCAUGUAAUCCCAGGACUUGGGAGGGGGAGGCGGGAAGAUGAGAAAUUCAAAGCCAGCCUCAGCUACAUAGUGAGUUUGAGGCCAGCAUGAACUAUAUGAGCCCCUGUCUCGAAAUUGAAUGAAGGCAGAAACAAUGGGAUAGAUGGGGAACAUUGUAAGGAUUGACAAGGAGGCCUGACCAGGUCAUUCUGUCCAAAACCAGGAGAUCAAAUAGGGUUUUCACCACCUUGGGGGAUGAGGAAGCUGUGGUGUUUUUUCACGCAGGCUGCACAUAUGAGUCACCAAGGGAACUUAGGCACUCAGGUGAGACUCCACUUUGUGGAGACUGGAUUUCAGCAGUUUGGAGGGCAGCCAGUUCUCUGGGACACUUUUACCAUUUUCCAGUGGUCUUCUAGUUAGGUUUUGGAGAGCAGAAUACAAGAAUAGGAGAUAAAGAAAGUGACCACUUCUUACCUCAACAAAACUGUGUUUAUUAGCACAGCGAGGUGUAGCAACCGUCCUACAGGAUGGAGGAUGCGUCAAAGGCUGGUCAGAGUCUUAUAUAUGGGCAGCAGCUACAGGGGAUUUUUUGGGAACGGCUGCUGCAGGGGAGACAGGGCCUUUGGGGAGAUUUAUUUUCACCCAUUCUGUGGUUGGUUUCUCUUGGGACUCAUCCGUGUGGCCCUUCUAGACACCCAGGCGGGGGAAAGAGGAAGUCUUCAGUAUAGAACUGGAUGGUCGGGAGUACUAUGUUGUGCCAAUUUCUUUCACUUCCUUUAUUUUUAAAUUUUUAUUAUUUUUAUGUGUA